AUCAACACUCGGAGCACUCGGCGGAGGUCGUCGCUGUUUUUCCUGUUCGAGAUGCGAAACCUAGCGGAUGUGUGCCGUUUGGACUCCUCUCUUUCUCUGCUUGCUGGGCGAACGACGACGGAGACUAUCGUUGAGUUCGCUCGCACGGGUGAUGAGCCACGAUCAGUCGGUUCGGGCGGAAGAUUCCCAUAAGUUCCCAGUGUGAUCAGUUCCAGUGUGUAGUGUGCGUUUGGACUCCGUUGUAUGCGCGAUUAAUUGGAGUUAAUUGGAUUAUAGUGAUUGAGUUUUGUCCAAUUGAUUGACUUUCUAUUUUGGGCUGCUUUUGUCACCUUUUUUGGUGUGUUUAUUCGGAAACGUUACAUUUCUCUAGUUUUCGUUCGCAACCAAGUGCCAAGUGGAAAGGACUGUAGAAAGCAGCUCUAGUGCACCGACCGUGAGUUUCGAAUAUGUGAUGUUGUGUUCACCCAUAAUUGAAGUUAAUUGAAAGUUUGACUUUUGUACUCGAUGACGGUUCAAUGCUACAGAUAGUGCCGCUGUUCGUUCCAAAUGAAAUAGUACACCCAGUCGCUUGAUUGGAUCAAUUUGGUAAACUCGUGAGCUCCCCACAUAGAAAACUAGGACUGUUCGCUGGAAUUCGAGUGGAGUUUAAAAGGCAAAAAUGUGAAAAAGACACUUGUUGGUUAGUUAAACGGAGAAUAUGUGUGUUAAGGAGAGACGGCCCUCAGACGGAAAGACAUUCCUACACAAAGUGGUGACAUUGAAGAGCAAAUAAGAACAUUAAUAGAAGCACGAUAAUAAAUUCCUCACGAUCUGGGAUACAGCAUUCGCUGAAGAGACGGGACGAGAGUAAAGGAGCGCCUGCUGAAAAACACUAUAAGCACGUGUUUCCCGUUUCCUACGUGACACAUUUUCACCGAACGGACGCAAUCGUCGAUUGGUUGGCAACACUGGCUCCCCUUCAUCAGCUGUGAGCUCACAGACAGAAUCCGCCUUAUCUUUACAUCGGAUAAAUGUGGAAUUGAAAACAUCCUUGAAUGAGAAAUACUGAGGAAUCCCGAAAUAAAUUCAAAACAAUUUCUAUCGGACUUAUGGAAAUCCUAGCUGCACCUCUGUCGUGCGAGAACAACUAGAUACACCAGCACUUUGCAGUUCUUACUGAGAAUCAGAGUGUUUUGUACUUCAGCUUAUGACAAAUAGCCGAACAACCAUUUGAACAAUGAGACGAAACUCAAUAGAAUGAAGAAUGGAAUCAUCAAUGAUGCUCUUCCACGGGACACAAUUGUCUCACAGGUAGUAUUGCGAAUCAUGUGCGGUGUUCCUAUACCAACUAUCAUGUGAAAGUAGCGGAACCAUUUUUUUGCAAAUUGUAUUCGGAACGCCGAGAGUUUGUUUAUUUUCCGUUUUGCACGUUUUGCUGGGCAGUGCUUCGCAAAGCCGAGAAGUUUCGCUUUCACGUUGUGCGA